GGGAAGCUUAUCUCUGAAAAUUGCUUCAACAAUUCUUCUUCUCUUGGCGGGAGCUUUACUAGCAAGAAUGUUGAAUCCCCUUUUCUUUAAAUCAUUUCCUUUUUCUUGUCCUUCUUAUCAUGCUUUUGCCACAACUGCUUCAUAGUUUGGGGAUCGUUUCUAUGCUUUGAUCUAUUUUCAUCAAAGCCAACAAAUUCAUAGUCAAAACUUCCGGGAACGAAGUUUACAACUUCUUGAGAUUCUUUGAUACUUUCUAAUUGAGAAAACCCAAGCUAAAAGAACGUUCCAAAUCUCUAUUUAUAAUGGUUAUUCAAACAAUAAAGCCUAAAAAAGGAAUAAUCGAAGAAAUUGCUCAACCAACACACUGAAAUUUCACUUUGUAAACGCAAGCGCGAAAUAUUUUUUUUGAAAAUAAGAAACAUAAAAAAGAUUAGAAGAAAUUGAAGCUGAUUUUAGGGAGGGAAAUUACCUUACUUCAAAGUUUUGAAUUAGAUGAAGAAAUUGGAUAGAAACGGCAUCAGAAAUUGCGGCG
rnacentral:lncRNA from 1 species